GGCAGGUUAGCUCAGCUGGGUAGAAUGUGGUGCUAAUAAUGCCAAGGUCAGCCAAGGUCAUGGGUUCAAUCCCCAUACCGGCCA
rnacentral:tRNA from 1 species